rnacentral:lncRNA from 10 species
GCAUUCAGAUAAAUCCUUUCCCCUGAUAUUUUCCCUCCAUCCCCCUCCUCACAGCCCUGUUCAGAAGCCUGAACAUGUCAUGAUGGCUGGGGCCUCAAAUCCAGGGGACAAUAUGAGGUGAAGGUGCCAAAGCAGGAAUGAAAACCUGUCCCCUCUGUUGAAUACUCUUCUUCUUCACUCCUAAAACUACACACCUGAUGUUAGUCGUCAGCCCUCUUCUUAUCACUCUACACCUGCUGCUCUGGAGAACUCAUCCAGGCCUGUGGCUCCCUGCACGUCUACACUAGUAACCUCUGAAUCCACGGUCUCCAGCACUCCCUCCUGCUCCCAUCCCCAGGUGGCAGUCAGGUGCCUGCACUUGGCUAUCUCAACAUCAACAUCAC